GCCCUCGUAGAUCACCGGUAGAUCUCCUCCUCACAAUUCGGCUGUUAUCAGUAGUCAUGUUACGGAGGUGAUGUGGGUUGGACUCCCACCGAGGGCA